rnacentral:rRNA from 1 species
UACGUAGGUGGCGAGCGUUAUCCGGAAUGAUUGGGCGUAAAGGGUGCGCAGGCGGUCCUGCAAGUCUGGAGUGAAACGUAUGAGCUCAACUCAUGCAUGGCUCUGGAAACUGGCGGGCUGGAGUUGGAGAGAAGUACGCGGAAUGCGCGGUGUAGCGGUGAAAUGCUUAGAUAUCGCGCAGAACCCCGAUUGCGAAGGCAGCGUACCGGCUCCACACUGACGCUGAGGCACGAAAGCGUGGGGAGCAAAUAGG